rnacentral:lncRNA from 1 species
UUACACCGAAUGACCGUUAUCAAAACGUAUACCGAUGCUUUAAAAUAUUAAAAAUGUGCUAACUGCUAGAAAUUAUCGAUUCAGUUAUAACGAUAUCCGCUUUGAGAAUCCUAUUAGCGAUGAAAGAGUAGCGUCUUUAAGCUGACACUUACUCUCGAGCGUAGACCGAUAAGUGCCAGAGGAAAGCGAGACGCGCGAGUCAGCUGGGCAAACGCUCACGCGACAUGUGCGUGACGUCUAGUGCAUAUAUGCAGCCAGACUGCACUGAAGUGUGUCUUGCGCGGAACACCUAACCCUUUGUAUUUUUCGAGUGAAACGCCGUGUAUGUAAUUAAAGCUCGCUCUAGAGGAUGUGGCAGAAGUAUUAAAAAAUCCGCUAACGGAUCAAGAUUGAUUCAACGUCAGCGUCUGCUGUGCGCAAAAAUAAAGCUAUAGCCGUACACAACAGCAAUAUCCUCGCGUCAGACACGUGUGCAGUGAGCAGCUCACGACGUGCUGACGAAGAAAAGUGAAUGGAUGGGUUGACUUUGAAGUCAAAAAUAGCCGAAAAAAUUCCUCUCCUCCUGGAAGAGCGCAGACUGCACCCGCGCAGAAAAAAAAAUGGCCAGACGACGGCAAUGAACCGAAUAGUCUCGUCUCAGAGGAUGUAGCAAAACGCGGCCAUCAACCGUCCUAAUCGUCAUUUUCACCCACGCGAGCAACGUCGAAUGCGAAUUCCCAUACUGCGACUGUAGACAAAAGCGAUUUCGAGCGACGCAUUGCCAAAAAAAGCGAACUGAAAAAAUCAAUCGCCAAUAGCUCUGCAGGAAAGCGCAUCGAUCGUCAUAUACAUAUAGCGACAGGGAGAGAGAGAACGGAGCUUAUUCGCCGCGUCGACUAGACGACGAUUUAAUCCCGAGCGGCGGAUCUGAAUUUCCCAUCGGCGCGACCGGAUGCCAAUGGAAAAAUAUACGCGGCCGGAAGAACAGAGGGCCGACGCCGCUAUGUAUGCCCUCGAACCCCCUUUAUACGAUGUAUAUAUAGGUAGAUGCGCGUAAUGUGCACCCGCACGUGGGAUGGAUAUGAUGUAUGCGUGCGCCGCGCAGCUACUGAAAUCUAGCGACGUUUCGAGUGAUGCAUUGUUAUGGAUUAGGCUGCUGAUGAAAUUCGAAUUUUUUCUUACGAGCUCUAACGCCUACGAAACUGUAUAUCAAUCGGCUGAAGGGCGGCAGACAAUUGGGCGCGCUCCUGCGGCAUUCUGAAUCGCAAGGGAGAUUUGGCCUUUGAAUUCUUCCUAUAUUGCCGAGAAAUUUACGCGUUGUUCUUCUACCCAAACGCGGAAAAUAUAUUCGAGGGUCUUCUCUAUCGGAGGAGACGAGUGGAUUUUUCGGAGGUAGAAUUUUUCCGGGCAAACGUUUGAAUUCCAAUUUAUUUUUUCGGUGUUUGAAGUGAGAAUUCGGCGUAUUAAUAGGAUUAUUGAUCUUUUCGUAGACCAAAGUUUGGAUAUACCUACUGACGAGCGGUAAAACUGCCGCAUGCGUGUGAUAAAGGAACUCGAUCUUUUUCAUUACUUUUUUAUCGGCGAAAAUCGAACUGCUAUCCAUAAAGACGACAUAGUAUAGUCGCGCGCGUAUAUGAAUAAAAACUGCAGAGUCAGGCACAAAGUUCAAUCUCUCACUCUCUCGUAUACGGCUUUUCGGGCGAAAUCCAACCGAAAAUUCCCGACAUACCUAUCACUCACCGAUUUCCAAAAGCCCUUCUAAAACAAUGAAAAA